CCCUGAUCGAUAACUCGCUCACCAAGAAGCCGCAGGUUGUCCGGAUCGAGCCGACGGACAAGGCGUUCAAGACCGACGGUUGCCAGCCCUGGCAGCUGACCCCGGACGCCACACCACCCCCGGACGUCGCCGGGCCGGUCGCCGGAGCCCAGGUCCAGGGCAUCAUCGGGGGUCUCAACGGCUUGCUCGCGCCGCACGGACAGCGCGUA
rfam:Mycobacterium simiae strain MsiGto contig_22, whole genome shotgun sequence.